GCAAAAAAAUCUCCCCCUUUUUUUCAUUGCUGAAAUUAAAACGCCCCCACCCUCUUCUUUUUUCUCUCUUCUUUUCUCCCCUGCCCUUUCUUCCUUUUUCGCUUCUUUCCUUUGUAGUUUCUUCCAUCCGACCAGAACGAGAGAGAGAAAUCGAGAGAGAUGGAGAGAAUCAGAGAGAACUUGAGGGAGAUGUGCGGUGGGCUAGCCACCGUUUGGGGACGGCGCCGAAACCGGUGGGUCCGGCGUUUUCUCGGGACCCAAACGAGUAGAAGUCCAUUUUUGGUUUCUUUUUUGUUCUUCACCAAUUUUCAUCGGCGGCUGGCUACUAUUCGACAUUGGAGCUCCAUGAAAGCUCCGGCGUCACCUUCUGGUAUAUGAACACCCUUGGUCUUUUGAUAUGGGAACAGGAGUUAGUGAACCUACGGCUGAUAACAAUGUCCAAAUAGCAUCAUGUAAUGUGUUUGUACAUUACAGGACAUCCUAAUACUGUGCCCUGCUGAGUAUCAAAAGGAAAUCCUUAGAUACUUAUACCAUCAUCAGAAUGAAGAUGGUGGCUGGGGAUUACACAUAGAGGGCCGCAUCAUCAUGUUUUUCACGGCUCUCAGCUACAUUAUACUUCAUUAAACUUCCUGGAAAUGCAAUAUGGUAGCUGUUUUGAUCAUUUUACAUGUCUUUUGUAACAUGUGACUGAAGGGUGCAUUUAAUCUUUGGUGAACUCUUUGGGGAUUUUUUUUUUUUUUUUUUUGAUUUUUUGAUUUUUUUUUUUUUGAUUUUUGAUUUUUGAUUUUAUAUGUAUUUAAUGCCAUUUACCGUUGAAAGCGGCAUUAAAUGUUUUAAUGCCACUUCUCAAAAAAUGGUAUAAAUUAACGCCGUUUGCAUCCUAAGCGGCAUUAAAUUAAUUUAAGACCGCCACUUUAAUGUCGUUUGAGAAGCGGCAUUAAUUAAACGACA